CAGCCGCGUAAUUCCAGCUCCAAUAGCGUAUAUUAAAGUUGUUGCAGUUAAAAAGCUCGUAGUUGAAUUUCGGGAUCAGUUGAUCGGUCGUGCCUCGGUACGUACUGGUCAAAUUGAUUCCUACCUUCUGACGAACCACGAUGUCAUUAAUUUGAUGUCGCGGGAAAUCAGGACUGUUACUUUGAAAAAAUUAGAGUGUUUAAAGCAGGCUCGCGCUUGAAUACAUUAGCAUGGAAUAAUGAAAUAGGACGUUUGAUUCUAUUUUGUUGGUUUCUAGGAUCGACGUAAUGAUUAAAAGGGAUAGUUGGGGGCAUUAGUAUUCAAUUGUCAGAGGUGAAAUUCUUGGAUUUAUUGAAGACUAACUACUGCGAAAGCAUUUGCCAAGGAUGUUUUCAUUAAUCAAGAACGAAAGUUAGGGGAUCGAAGACGAUCAGAUACCGUCGUAGUCUUAACCAUAAACUAUGCCGACUAGGAAUCGGAUGAUGUUAAUUUUUUAAUGACUCAUUCGGCGCCUUACG
rnacentral:misc_RNA from 1 species